rnacentral:rRNA from 1 species
UGACGCUGAGAUGCGAAAGCGUGGGAGCAAAACAGGAUUAGAUACCCUGGUAGUCCACGCUGUAAACGAUGUCGAUUUGGAGUUUGGUGGCAUGACUGCUGGGCUCCGAAGCUAACGCGUUAAAUCGACCGCCCUGGGGAGUACGGCCGCAAGGUUAAAACUCAAAUGAAUUGACGGGGGCCCGCACAAGCGGUGGAGCAUGUGGUUUAAUUCGAUGCAACGCGAAGAACCUUACCUGGUCUUGACAUCCACAGAAUUUUGUAGAGAUACGAAAGUGCCUUAGGGAGCUGUGAGACAGGUGCUGCAUGGCUGUCGUCAGCUCGUGUUGUGAAAUGUUGGGUUAAGUCCCGCAACGAGCGCAACCCUUAUCCUUUGUUGCCAUCGGUUAGGCCGGGAACUCAAAGGAGACUGCCGUUGAUAAAGCGGAGGAAGGUGGGGACGACGUCAAGUCAUCAUGGCCCUUACGACCAGGGCUACACACGUGCUACAAUGGCGCAUACAAAGAGAAGCAAACCAGCGAUGGCAAGCGGACCUCAUAAAGUGCGUCUAAGUUCGGAUUGGAGUCUGCAACUCGACUCCAUGAAGUCGGAAUCGCUAGUAAUCGUGAAUCAGAAU